rnacentral:rRNA from 1 species
AUUGAACGCUGGCGGCAGGCCUAAUACAUGCAAGUCGAACGAGUGGCGGACGGGUGAGUAAUGUCUGGGAAACUGCCUGAUGGAGGGGUAUAACUACUGGAAACGGUCACUAAUACCGCAUACCAUCAGAUGUGCCCAUAUGGGAUUAGCUAGUUGGUGGGGUAAAGGCUCACCAAGGCGACGAUCCCUAGCUGGUCUGAGAGGAUGACCAGCCACACUGGGACUGAGACACGGCCCAGACUCCGACGGGAGGCAGCAGUGGGGAAUAUUGCACAAUGGGCGCAAGCCUGAUGCAGCCAGGCCGCGUGUAUGAAGAAGGCCUUCGGGUUGUAAAGUACUUUCAGCGGAGAGGCGUUACCCGCAGAAGAAGCACCGGCUAACUCCGUGCCAGCAGCCGCGGUAAUUC